UUUCUUUCAGGCCUUGAUCUCGGCUGUAGCCACGAGACAACUAAAACGGCGUGCCUCCCCCUCGACCAUAGAUCUCCGCCGACCCUUUGGUAACUGGUUCGACAGAGCUAGCGAACUCUACGCCCCGAGACUUCUUGAAAUCCGAAAUGUGGAUACUGCAGGCGGACAGUAGCCGGAAAGCAGAAGAGGCCUGGGCUUGGGUUGCGAAAGCGAUAUUUUAAAGCCUAUAUCGAGGGUAUUGGGGAUGCAUUCCAGAGCCCCGAGGAAAAGUGAAAGGCGAGAUGACACUUAACUGAAUUGGGGUGAACAUUGGAACCCGGGACUAAACUGUGCGCUUGAGCAAUGGAGGGAGGAAAACUAAACCCGUGUGCAGUAGAAAUGAAAAACCUGCGGAGAAGGUUUAGAAGGUGGGGGCUGCUCUUCGCCUCUC
rnacentral:lncRNA from 1 species